rnacentral:lncRNA from 1 species
AGAAAAUGGAGUCUGGUAGACAUGGAUGAGAGUGGCUGGAUGAAGAAGCUGCAGGUUGAGGAUGCCCUUGCCCUCCCCACCCCACUUCAGCUGGACCUAAGGAGCCGGAGGCAGGGAGGAGGACCAACAGAUGAACGGAUGACCUGCUUGUCGGGCUUCCCAUUACUUAUUUUAAAAAAAACGGAGUCUGGAUGACUCCGGAACAAAGGAGCCGGAAGCAGGAAGGAGGACCAACAGAUGAACGGAUGACCUGCUUGUCGGGCUUCCCAUUCCUGAGUUUGAAAUAAUGAAGCCUGGAUGAUAGUAGCUAGGUGAAGAAGCUUCUGGUUGAGGAUGACCUUGCCCUCCCCAUCCCACUUCAGCUGGAUCUAAGGAGCCGGAAGAAGGAAGGACCAACAGAUGAGCGUUGACUCUGCUUAUUGAACUGCCGUUUGAGAAUUUGUGAGGGUGGAGAUUGUCAUAGGAAACAUCUCAAGCCAUUACUUCAGGAGAAUGAAAGAUGUCUGGCAACCGGAAGCAGGAAACUACUGAUGAGUCUACUUGCUCAACAUGACAUCUGUGAUACAUGAGAUUCGCCAAGAUGUUAGCCAUCAACGACAUAGGAAGAUGGCUUGCCGGCUACCGCUGCCAAGCCCACUACUUACCAGAACAAGAAAUUAAUUAAAACCACCAGCCCCCACCCCUUACCAGAACAAGAAAUUGAUAAAAAUUCACUGCAACAAAUGAAAUUAGAAUAUAAUCCCUGACUUUGGACUAAGUACAUUUUUUAAGGCUAUGGGACACCCCCAUCCUGCCUAGUUGAAUCAGCCUGCCUCAUGCACUAACAAAACGGUGCUCAAACCUUUGAGAAUUCUUUUCAGACAAAAAUCAUCAAGACAUGGAAAUGACACUGUGCUUAUGUUGUUGCUUUUGUUUGCAUGUUCGCAUGAUUUCACUGUUCCAUUUUGGCAUGUGUUGUUCCUGCAUGUUUUAAUAUCAUAUCGCACCUUUUUGAUUUCAAGAAGCAAAAAGAUAACCACAGUGUAUGGCCAUAGUCUGACAAUUAUUACAUUCAAAAAUUCUAACAUAUUAAUCUAAAUUUAAAUAAUUCAAAAUAGUUAAAAUGCCAUCAACAUCACUUCAAUGCGUCAUUAUUUUGAUGGGGGGGGGGGGGGGUCAUCCCGUAGCCUUUGUCUCCCUUUCGCACCUUAUUCUUUGAUGUCACCAAAAAAAAUCUGACAAAAAAAUUAAAAGAAAUGGCCCCCUCCUCAUUCUUGAAACAUUUUUUUCAGGGGAUUGGCUUUUUAGUUGGAAAGCCUCCCUUUUAAAAAUGAAAAACACUUAUUUGUUAAAGCAUUUGAAUAAUUGUCUGCAGUAAGGUUUCUACUAUCGUUUUCCUUAACUUACUAUUGUCUUUCGUAAAUCAAAUGACGAUGUUAACGAAUACAUCUGAGGAAGAAGCCACUGGUUGAGGACGACAUUGCACUCCCCGUCCCAGGAAACCGGAAGCAGGGAGGAGGACCAACAGAUGAACUGAUGAUUCUGCAGUGAGCUAGCCAUUUCUGAUUUUCAAGAAGCGAGGAUGAGUCUUGGAUUGAUGAAGACUUGGAGAUGUUGUUUGUUGAUUUGACACACCCCAACCAUCACAGACGUACCUUAGGACCCAGAAGCAGGGAGGAGUGAGGACCGACAGAUGAACUGAAGACCCUACUUACUGAGCUAGUCAUAUCUGAUUUUCAAGACCUGGAAAGUCUGUCUGUUAACUUGACACCUGAAACCAUCAUCACGGAUGACCGAGGAACCGGAAGCAGGGAGGAAGAACGACAGAAGAACGGAAGACCCUGCUUACUGGGCUCUCCAUUUCUAAUAUUUUAGAAAAUGGAGCCAGUCAUACCUGCAUGAAAGUGGCUAGAUGAAGACGCUUCUGGUUGAGGCUGACUUUGCCCUCCUCAUUCCACUUCUGCUGACGCUAAGGAGGAGGAAGCAGGGAAGAGAACCAACAGAGGACUAUGGACUCUGCUUGCUGAGCUUGCUAGGAAUCCACUACAAACUUAGAAACUUUGACAGUGUCUGACACACUUCUUUAUGGAGUGAAACCCCCAUCGAAGAAUUGGGCAAGAAACUUCAUUAUAAUUGAAAGAAAUAUUUGAACAGUCAAUGACAUUCCUAGAGAUGAGAUGAACAUAAAUGGCAACAUCUGGAACGAACGAAGUCGGAAGGCUGAAAAGGCUUUAUGCCUGAUAUAUUUUAUCGUUGAAUCGUCAAUGACAUUCCAAGAAAAUAUCAUUCAGUAAAGACGAACUGCAACGAACAAAAGUCACACUACUUGGAAUAUUAUCCUGAAGCCUUAAAUUAGGUUUAUCAUAAGUCUACGGUAAAAAUUAAAACACGACUGCUGAUAAAAUGUUAAAUUCCAGG